rnacentral:lncRNA from 1 species
AUGAGUCCAGGCCGGCGCGCCUGCGAGGACGAGCGGAACGGAGACCCGGCUGGCGGCGGCGGCGGACCGGUGAGCCCCGCGACUGGAGCGCGGGCCUGGGCGGUGAGCGCGCUGUGCCUGCUGCUCUCCGCGAGCUCGGCGGUCGCCUGCCUGCUGCUGGGCGUCCAGGCAGCCGCGCUGCAGGGCCGGGUGGCGGCCCUCGAGGAAGAGCGGGAGCUGCUGUGGCGCGCGGGGACUCCCGACGCCUUGGCCGCCUGGGCCGAGCCGCGGCUGGAGCGCCUGCUGCGUGAGAAGUUGGAGGGACCAGUCAAGCUCCGGACAGUUCGAGAAGCACCGACAGACUGUGUCUGCCCCCCAGGAAAUUAACAAGUGACUGCAAGGAGAUCCAACUAGUCAAUCCUGAAGGAAAUCAGUCCUGAAUAUUCAUUCAGCUGAAGCUGAAACUCCAAUACUUCGGCCACCUGAUGGGAAGAACUGACUCAUCUGAAAAGACCCUGAUGCUGGGAAAGAUUGAAGGCAGGAGGAGAAGGGGCUGACAGAGGAUGAGAAGGUUGGACGGCAUCACUGACUCAAUGGACAUGAGUUUGAGUAAGCUCCAGAAAUUGGUGAUGGACAGGGAAGCCUGGCGUGCUGCAGUCCAUGGGGUCACAAAGAGUUGGACACGACUGAGUGA